rnacentral:rRNA from 1 species
CCUACGGGUGGCAGCAGUGGGGAAUAUUGGUCAAUGGGCGCAAGCCUGACCCAGCAACGUCGCGUGAAGGAUGAAGGCUUUCGGGUUUUUAACUUCUUUUUUUAAGGGCGUAACAAGUGGCGGUACCUCAUGAAUAAGCCACGGCUAACUACAUGCCAGCAGCCGCGGUAAUACGUAGGACGCAGGCGUUAUCCGGAUUUACUGGGUGUAAGGGUUGUGUAGGCGGGACUGCAAGUCAGAUGGGAAAAUUAUGGGCUCAACCCAUAACCUGCAUUUGAAAUUGUAGUUCUUGAGUGAAGGAGAGGCAGGCGGAAUUCCGUGUGUAGCGGUGAAAUGCGUAGAUAUACCGAGGAACACCAGUGGCGAAGGCAGCCUGCUGAACAUUAACUGACGCUGAGGCGCGAAAGCGUGGGGAGCAAACAGGAUUAGAUACCCUUGUAGUC